AUUGAACGCUGGCGGCAGGCUUAACACAUGCAAGUCGAGCGGAGAUGAGGUGCUUGCACCUUAUCUUAGCGGCGGACGGGUGAGUAAUGCUUAGGAAUCUGCCUAUUAGUGGGGGACAACAUUCCGAAAGGAAUGCUAAUACCGCAUACGCCCUACGGGGGAAAGCAGGGGAUCUUCGGACCUUGCGCUAAUAGAUGAGCCUAAGUCGGAUUAGCUAGUUGGUGGGGUAAAGGCCUACCAAGGCGACGAUCUGGAGCGGGUCUGAGAGGAUGGUCCGCCACACUGGGACUGAGACACGGCCCAGACUCCUACGGGAGGCAGCAGUGGGGAAUAUUGGACAAUGGGCGGAAGCUUGAUCCAGCCAUGCCGCGUGUGUGAAGAAGGCCUUUUGGUUGUAAAGCACUUUAAGCGAGGAGGAGGCUACUUAGAUUAAUACUCUAGGAUAGUGGACGUUACUCGCAGAAUAAGCACCGGCUAACUCUGUGCCAGCCGCCGCGGUAAGAC
rnacentral:rRNA from 1 species